rnacentral:rRNA from 1 species
GUGAAAUUUUCGGGCUUAACCCUGGAAGCUGCAUCUGAAACUGCAGAACUUGAGUACUGGAGAGGAUAGUGGAAUUCCUAGUGUAGCGGUAAAAUGCGUAGAUAUUAGGAGGAACACCCAGUGGCGAAGCCGACUAUCUGGACAGUAACUGACGCUGAGGCGCGAAAGCGUGGGGAGCAAACAGGAUUAGAUAUCCUGGUAGUCCCACGCCGUACACGAUGAAUACUAGGUGUAGGGGGUAUCGACUCCCCCCUGUGCCGCAGCUAACGCAAUAAGUAUUCCACCUGGGGAGUACGGCCGCAAGGUUGAAACUCAAAGGAAUUGACGGGGGCCCGCACAAGCAGUGGAUUAUGUGGUUUAAUUCGAAGCAACGCGAAGAACCUUACCAGGACUUGACAUCCUCUGACCGCCAUAGAGAUAUGGUUUCCCUUCGGGGCAGAGAGACAGGUGGUGCAUGGUUGUCGUCAGCUCGUGUCGUGAGAUGUUGGGUUAAGUCCCGCAGCGAGCGCAACCCCUAUUGUCAGUCGCCAUCAUUCAGUUGGGAACUCUGGCGAGACUGCCGUGGACAACACGGAGGAAGGUGGGGACGACGUCAAAUCAUCAUGCCCCUUAUGUCCUGGGCUACACACGUAAUACAAUGGCAACGACAGAGGGCAGCUACCCCGCGAGGGCAAGCGAAUCCCUAAACGUUGUCUCAGUUCGGAUUGCAGGCUGCAACUCGCCUGCAUGAAGUCGGAAUUGCUAGUAAUGGCAGGUCAGCAUACUGCCGUGAAUACGUUCCCGGGCCUUGUACACACCGCCCGUCACACCAUGAGAGUCUGCAAUACCCGAAGUCAGUAGUCUAACCGCAAGGGGGACGCUAC